AACGGAAACUUUAGAAGAAACCUAAACUAUAACCAAGUGAAGGCCUCUUACAUUAAAAAACCUCGAAAAAUGCCGCAACUAUCUCAGAAAACUAUCGCAAAGAUACAA
rnacentral:snoRNA from 1 species